UCCCUCUCAGUCUCUAUUUAAGCCUCUAGAGGGCGGUCUAUGCAAAGUAUCCCUACCAUUCAUCCCUUUAUAAUCAGAGACUCAACUCUGGUCUUCUCAUUAUAGGCAGCUUGGACUGACAUUAUAACAUUACAAGUCCUGUACUAACUAAUACUGAACAAUGAGGACUGCCUGGACUUUAGUACUCAUGGUGGUGUCUGUAAAAAGUGUUCAGGGUCAGACACUGACGGAGUCUGAAUCAGUGGUUAAAGAGCCUGGAGAAU